UCUACAGCUGUUAAUUGUUUCAGUGAAGAUGUUGAUUGUCUUUGUUCUCUACUCUCCAUGAAUUUUAAGUAGCCCAGCUCAUUGCUCAAAUGCUCAUUUACUUAUGAUUUUUAUCAGUUUUACAUUCACCUGUUAAUUGAUAGCUAAGUCUGACUUAUUUCCAAAAAUUAAAACAAAACAGUCAGUAGUUUGUUUGAGAUUCUGUCGGGGCCAGCCACAACUUUUGUUCGAUAUUCUAUACAGCUGUUCAAACGCCAUGGAGACAAGUGCUGUGAACUCAGUCAACCAUAAUCAAUUGCAUGAAAGUGAAUUGAUCGCUGUCCAAAAAAAUCUAAAGAGUUACCAAAAACGAGGUACUAAAUGUCGCCAUAAAUGCAUUAAGCUAACAGUUAUAGCAGCUUUUAUGGGACUGCAUAAUGUUCUAAAUUCAAGAUUGUUAUUGUAAAUGGAGUGAAAUAAAGAAAGGGCUAUACUCACUCUACAGCGAGAAAAUUACUGUA